CGCGGGAUGGAGCAGUCUGGUAGCUCGUCGGGCUCAUAACCCGGAGGUCGCAGGUUCAAAUCCUGCUCCCGCAA
rnacentral:tRNA from 2 species